rnacentral:lncRNA from 1 species
UUUAAUAAUUAUAUUUUUUAAAUUAUUUGAAUGGCAGUAAAAUAUACAUAACAUAAAAUUGACCACCUUCAGCAUUUUAACUGUCCAGUUCAGUGGUAUUAAGUGCGCUCACACUGUUCCCACUCUAGAUUUUUGUUGUGAUUUCUCAUGUACAGAAUCUGAGGCACAGAGAGAUACCCUGAACCUCCAAGAAAAGGCAGAGUCCUGGGGAUGAUUUCGCUGAGAAGAAUGCGGAAGGAAUCCCAAGGCCUUUUUGGUGGAGGCGCUCUUAUUAUGCCCAUUUUACAGGGGAAGAAACUGAAGCCCCAAGGGCUGGCUGACUUGCUCAAGGUCACAGAGGAAGUAAAUGGUGGAGCCUGGAUUCGGACCCCACAGACUGGCUUCCGUGACGUGGCUUAAUAGCCACAGCUUUGCCCACCUCUGUGCUGGGUGCCGGGGUGCAGCGAUGAGAUCGACUGGAGGGGUUCCUGUUCCGGAGGCUCAGAAGCAGGUGGAAGGGAGUCAUAAAGAAAAACAAAGUGAAUCAGAACAGAAACAAUAUGUGGCCCACAAAGCCUAAAAUAUUUACUACCUGGACCUUGAAGGAAAAAGUUUGUUGAUACCUGCUAUAAGCCAUCAAAAUGUCAAGGAUUUUUGUUACACAACAUUAUUGCACAAAUAGAGAUCAUCAAACCAAAACUCUCAAAAGCGGAAUGUCUCACCAGGACUUUCUAAGGUCUUAUUGUUUUGCCUUCACCACAAAGGAACCCUCUCCAAGGUAUGUUAGCAUUUUAGGUACUUACACUCUGAAAGAUUCUGCAUUCACUUCUUCCCUCCUUUUCCACAAGAAGCCCAACAUGCAAUGAACACCUGUGGUGGCUGAGUUAGACAUUGUGCAGGACACCUUACAAAUGUCACCU